rnacentral:rRNA from 1 species
UACGGAGGGAGCUAGCGUUGUUCGGAAUUACUGGGCGUUAAAGCGCGACGUAGGUGGCCCCAUAAGUCCGCUGUGAAAAGUCAAAGGCUCAACCUUUGAAAAGCCGGUGGAUACUGUGGGACUAGAGUACGGAAGAGGCGAGUGGAAUUCCUGGUGUAGCGGUGGAAUGCGCAGAUAAUCAGGAGGAACACCGGUGGCGAAAGGGCGGUUCUCUGGGCCGAUACUGACGCUGAGGAGCGAAAGCGUGGGGAGCGAACAGGA